rnacentral:rRNA from 1 species
GACGAACGCUGGCGGCGUGCUUAACACAUGCAAGUCGAGCGGUAAGGGCCUUUCGGGGUACACGAGCGGCGAACGGGUGAGUAACACGUGGGUGACCUGCCCUCCACUUCGGGAUAAGCCUGGGAAACUGGGUCUAAUACGGGAUGGGACCAUUCCAUGCAUGUGGGGUGGUGGAAAGUCGGUGCUGUUGUGGUGCUGGCGGUGGGGGAUGGGCCCGCGGUCUAUCAGCUUGUUGGGGGGUGAUGGCUCACCAAGGCGACGACGGAUAGCCGGCCUGAGAGGGUGAUCGGCCACACUGGGACUGAGACACGGCCCAGACUCCUACGGGAGGCAGCAGUGGGGAAUCUUGCGCAAUGGGCGGAAGCCUGACGCAGCAACGCCGCGUGGGGGAUGACGGCCUCGGUUGUAA